CCGGCAGACCCAUAGUGUCUGAUUGUAACAGUGAAACUUAUCAGACAGCUGAGUACAUCGAGUAUUUUCUCAACCCCAUCUCUCAGAAACACCCGAGCUAUUUGAAGGACACGUAUGAUUUCAUCCAGAAAGUUAAAGACAUCAGUGUUCCCAGUGGAGCCUUUUUAUUCACCAUAGAUAUUGAUAGCUUAUACACGAACAUUGAAACCGAAGCAGGCCUCCAGGCAGUCCGGGAGUGCAUGCUUCAAUAUCCAGACCCAAAAAGGCCUGAUGACUAUAUUUUAAAAUUAUUAGAUAUUAACCUAAAUAAAAAUGACUUUGAAUUUAAUUCCAAAUAUUAUUUGCAAGUAAAAGGUACAGCCAUGGGCAAAAAAUUUGCCCCUUCCUACGCAAACAUUUUUAUGGCUAAAUGGGAACAAUCGGCUCUGGAUUCGUGCACAAAAAAACCUCUGUAUUACUAUAGAUUUCUGGAUGAUAUAUGGGGAGUGUGGUCGUACUCCAUGGAUGAUUUUAAAGAUUUUGCAGAACACUUGAAUGCCCAUCAGAAAUCUAUAAAAAUUAAAUAUACGAUUGACCUCACAGAGGUCAACUUCUUAGAUGUGGUGUCAUAUAAGGGACAGAAAUUCGAGAAUACGGGACAACUGGACUUUAAGGUGUAUUUCAAAGAAACGGACACACAUUCCUUACUGCACAAACAUAGCUUCCAUCCUAAACAUACAUUCAAAGGAAUAGUAAAAUCUCAAUUACUCAGAUUUUACAGGAUAUGCUCAGAACAUUCCUGUUUUAUGGAAGCAACAAAAAUUCUAUUCAGGGCCCUGAGGGACAGAGGAUAUUCAAGGUCCUUCUUAAGAAGGGCCUUGAAGACUUUUCUCCUCCCUAGGACUCCAGGGGACCCUACACAAAAAGAAAAAAACAAAAUUAUACCAUUAGUGUCCAAUUUCUCGUCAAUGAGCAAACAAUUAAACCGGGCAGCUAAGUCUAAUUUUGAAAGGUUUUUCGAAAACACUCCUUAUCUGCAGAAACACAAACAAAUAGCUGCCUAUAGGAGAAACACAAAUUUAGCAGAUAUUCUAGUGAAUAGUAAACUCAGACCUAUGGCACCACAGACCAGAAAGUUAAUCUGUAAAUACUUUGAUCAGAAAA
ensembl:lncRNA